UCCUACGGGAGGCAGCAGUGGGGAAUUUUGGACAAUGGGCGCAAGCCUGAUCCAGCAAUGCCGCGUGAGUGAAGAAGGCCUUCGGGUUGUAAAGCUCUUUUGUCAGGGAAGAAACGGUGAGGGCUAAUAUCCCUUGCUAAUGACGGUACCUGAAGAAUAAGCACCGGCUAACUACGUGCCAGCAGCCGCGGUAAUACGUAGGGUGCAAGCGUUAAUCGGAAUUACUGGGCGUAAAGCGUGCGCAGGCGGUUUUGUAAGUCUGUCGUGAAAUCCCCGGGCUCAACCUGGGAAUUGCGAUGGAGACUGCAAGGCUAGAAUCUGGCAGAGGGGGGUAGAAUUCCACGUGUAGCAGUGAAAUGCGUAGAGAUGUGGAGGAACACCGAUGGCGAAGGCAGCCCCCUGGGUCAAGAUUGACGCUCAUGCACGAAAGCGUGGGGAGCAAACAGGAUUAGAUACCCUGGUAGUCCACGCCCUAAACGAUGUCUACUAGUUGUCGGGUUUUAAUUAACCUUGUAGCGCAGCUCAGAAAAUUAAUAGACAUUACUGAUUGGCUUUUUUUUA
rnacentral:rRNA from 1 species